rnacentral:ncRNA from 1 species
UACCCUAUCCAUUCGGGGUAACUCUAUCGUGACUAGCGUGGAUGGUAACGUCUAGGUUAGAAAGCUCACGAGACAAUGUGGAAGUUCGAGUAGCCUAAAACUGGGACAACUGCUAGAGUAAGAAUGCUAUGGAGAAC